UGCAACCUGAGCUCAGUCGUGAUUACCCGUGA
rnacentral:rRNA from 1 species